rnacentral:rRNA from 1 species
GUAUGACUCUCGGCAACGGAUAUCUCGGCUCUCGCAUCGAUGAAGAACGUAGCGAAAUGCGAUACUUGGUGUGAAUUGCAGAAUCCCGUGAACCAUCGAGUCUUUGAACGCAAGUUGCGCCCGAGGCCAUUCGGCCGAGGGCACGCCUGCCUGGGCGUCACGU